GGGUUCUUAGCUCAGCUGGUUCAGAGCAUCUGGUUUACACCCAGAGGGUCAGGGGUUCGAAUCCCUUAGAACCCACCA
rnacentral:tRNA from 1 species